ACUUUUCGCGAUUAAUAAAGGCGGUGGCACUAGACUAAGAUACCGUUGUAGGCCGUUAGCAAAAUACCGCUCGUCGCGUUCCCGCCAAUUAAUAGGAAAACGCGCGUUCUUUAAAGGAUGUCGUGAGAAUUGAAGAAGUAAUUGCGAUAUGUAAAUCUCACCGUGUAUUUGAUUGGAUGAGUUAUUACAAGAGUUUGUGUGCCUCGUUAGUGAGUGGGAUCUUCGACAUUGUGCCCUUCGAACGAUUUAUCGCGGCUUGUUUACCCCUAUGGUUACGUAAGCGGCAGCAGGAUGGUCCGAUCUUUGUACGGAGGGGAACCCCAGGAAGUUAAGUACAACUCAACGGUCGGCCCUUAUUUCAGUCACAUCCGUGUAUCGCACAAUCGCAAUGGAAUCUCUCUGCGUCGUAGCAGGAGAGCCCCUGAUUAAUUUCCAGUCAUACAAACGGAGGAGAUUAUACGACCUUAGGAAGAAAAGGAAUACCGAGAAAGCGACUCCAAAAUUGGAAGGCAUGAAGUUUAAGAGCACGUUAGUAGAACAGGUCGACGAGGAAAUCCUUGCAAAUUAACAGUCGAGAUGGGAGAAUUCCUCCAAAGGAAGAACGACACGUUGCCGUGUGCUCCGCGUUUUGUGAAAAUUUUUCCGAUUUAGUUUAUUUUGCCUGUGAAAAAUUUAUAUCUCACUCGUUAAUUAGAGUGCGGUGAACAAAGUGAGAUAAUAAUCAAUACUGUGAAUUGAUUAAUUACUCUGUAAUUAGUGAAAAAUGUGCUCAGUAGUUUUGUGGAGGUUAUGUUCGUUUUUGCGGAAAUGGCAUUUUAUAUUCUAUGGACGAACGGUGGAUUCAACUGAUAACUUCAGUUGCAAGACGGAAGUGGAUUUGUAACUAGUCACGCCGUACUGUGAUUGGCUGUUGGAUUGGACAACAACAAUUUGUAGUGUUAGGAGUGCAUAUUACUUAUUUUUCAACAGUUGGCGCAUAUAGGUCACUCAUAACCUCAAGUCUUAAAAGCGCGGGAAACGUACGGAACUUCAGGAACUUCAGGCUCUACAGGCCUUGUCGCCCUUGUCGAUGAAUUCCACUAAAAGUACAAGUCUCUACCGGUUUCUCUACCAUUGCUCUCAUUUUGGAUUUUGCGUGCGCCAACAGCUGUUCACGGUGCUUCAUCGUCCUUCUAUUUACAGAUUUCGAGGGUGACCACUGUACGAAACUUUCUCUUCGUGACAAAUAUGAAAAACAGCAUUUAUACCAAUAAUGAGAACUUGAGUAAGGCGUAAUUCUUAAGCAUAGUUUUGACGAACGCGGAGCAUGAAAUUACGACUAGUAAAUUUAUGGAAGAUAAGUUGUUCUGUUUUAGAUUAUUAUUGCACAAUUUAUGGAGUCAUGGAUGAAUCAAUCUUUGUUUCGAUAAAAUAAAAGAAGUGAAAUCGAUUUAGAGUUUUAUUGUUAAUUUGCAUUCGUUUGUAUUUUGUGAUUUCAAUUAAAUUUUAAGAUGCAUGUGUAUUUGAAUAGAUUGUUAACAAAGCAGUCAUUAAGUCAGUGUUUGUUCGUAUAAAGUUUUAUUAAUGUUUGUUUUUUGUUUUUUUACAGGUCGAUAGACUAUACUUUAUAUGUGAAACAUCCAAUUAAAUUAAAUUUAUUGUCUGUCUCUUGAUCAAUAAAUAAUUAUCGCGUAUUAAAGUCAAUGCACCAUGGAAGACGAUCAAGAAACUAGUAUAUUUCUUCUAUAGAACAAUAGUAUCAAUCUACUACAACUUCUACCUACUUCAUUUUAAAUUUACUUUGAUGUAAAUCUAUCUUAUUUUUGACUUAUUACGAGUCAACCUACUCUAAUUUCAACCUACAAUAAGGAUGAAUGUUUUGGACCGUGGAAUUUCUUAAAUAAAGUCCGUUUUCUUAACGAGGAGUGAUAAGCCAUGGAUGCGCGGAUGGAAACGUUUAUUCUCGCAGGAACUUUCGUAAGUAUAAGUGUUACUACUGCAGUUUUUAACGAUCCAGAAUACACCACGACAGAUUUUAAUGCCUUUUGACAUAGCUGUUGAAGAUGACUCACAUACCAGUAACUCAUUGGUAUGUUGAAAAAUGUCUUCAAAUGAAUUUUUUAUUAUUUUUAAUUGUUUCAACUAUGUGAGUCUUCUGUUUUAGACGACACGAUAUAGUUAAUUCAUAGUAGGUAUAAAAAUUGUCAAUGUAUAAUGUUCAUCCCUGGUUGAUAAACUUUCCUGUAAGUUGCAGACAUACAUUAUAUGCCAAUCCAGUUUCUCUGAUAUCACUAUGUUAAUACCAUAGGACUUGAGAAAUAUAAAAAAUUUAGGGGUGUCCUGUUGUAUUGUCGCAAAAUGUAGUUGGCUUUUCACUAUAGAUCCUUAUUAUAUCCAUAUAUAUCCUUUAGGAGAUCAUAAUUCAAAUUAUUUUAUUCCCUAUUUAUGGGUUUUAUUUGGAAUAUAUUACUUAAUUAUUAAUAUUUUAUACCAUGAAAUUAAUGUUUCUUCAAUGAUGAUAUUUUUUCCUAGUUUAAAUAUUUUUUGAUACUUCUUUUGAUUUUUUUCAUCCCACAGUCGAAAUAGCUUUCCAAGUCCAUUACUAUAAGCAAUAGUAGUGUUAUCAGCAAACUGAAAGUUGUUGAGAAGCACCUUUCGAAUCUGUUCUGUGACAUGAUGGUACGCGGUAAAUCAAAAUUAUACAAUGUGCUUUUUAGCAAUAAUUGUUUAUUGAUUUGACUCUUACAUCACAGAGUUAAUCUCAAUAAUUUUCUUAUUUCAUCCGGAUUAGUUUAUGUCUAUUGAUGCAUUCGUGCAAAUUGAAUUAAUGUGGCUUUAUUUAAUUUUUAUUCUGUUUAUUUGUUCUAUGAGUAAAUUUAUCAAUUUGUGUUAUCAACAAUUAAAGAAAAUACAUCAUAUGAAGUAUAGUAUAAAUAGUUGCUGAUGUCGGUUAUUCGAGUAAACAAAGUAAACAAUUUCUGACGUCUACGAAAUUCAAUCCACCUAGCGCACUUAAUUGCAGUUUUUUCGGCAUUAUUAUCUUCGAUAUCUUUCUUAAUAAUUAAUUCUUGGAAGAUCUGUUCAAUAGCAUCUUAUUAUGUAUUUAUAUAGCAUCAAGUUAAUUAUCACAACUAUUCAAUCAUCAAUAUCCAAAUCAAAAUCCGAUGCAUACAGUUUUAUUUGUUUUUCUUUUUGGAAAAAUUUAAAUUCUUUCCUACCAUUACUAUGCAAAUUUUUGUAAAACCCAUAGGUUUUUUCUUUACUACUUCUUACUACUAGAUGAUUUAUGAAAUAACAUUGUGCUCCUUCUUUUCGCCAUUGCAAAUAAUUAGGACAAAGUUUAACUUUUUUUUAUUAACUGUAGACUUUCAAUUGAAGGAAUAUAUUAUCUUUUAGUUGGUUACUUUUCGAUUACAGACUUUCAACAGAAAUCUGUUGAAAAAAUAUACAUACUCAUAUACAUACAUAUUUGCAUACAAUACAACUACACACAUUCGUCUGCAUUGUAACUCUUGUGAGUAUUGUGGUAUUUUUUUAGUAUAUUACUGGAAAAAAUAUUCUAUUAUUAUUAUAAAGUCUCAUUUUGAAUGUCUACAAUCAGUAAAUAUAGUUACAUACUGUUACGAGCGGGUUUAGAAUUGAUGUCAUUACUAUACAUCAAAACUGUUUUGACGAUAAAUAUUGGGUAUAUUUUUGUCUUAGACUCAGGACAUUUUGAGAGAAUGUGACUCGUAAGUAUUCCAGACUAUUUAAAUUUUGGUGGAGUCAGGGAAGUUUUCAGGGAAACUGUUCCCUAAUAUUGCAGAUGAUUGCAUCUUAAGGCGCGACUUUUGUGAAAGAUAGAUUUGAUGAAGCUAUUACAAUGAGUUGUAUUACAAAGUUCGGGUUCAGUAGUGAGGUUUUCAUGAGGAUUGAUUAAUAGUUUGAAUAACGUGCUUCAGGAAAAUUCUAGGAAUUUCUCGAUAGAGCAAGAAAAGGAUUUUCCAAAAUUCCUUGAAGAAUUUUCAAAAGAAUUCGCAAGAAAUUGCGGAAUUGUUGAACAUAUCAUAGACCUAACCGAUUCUCUAUGAAAUGAGUUUCUUGGAGGAUUUUUCAUUUGAAAGGAAAAAAGAGAAAGUUGUCGAUACGCGUUUGGGUGUUGUUAAGAUUCCAAAAAAUUAGGUCGACGGCGUUAUAUCUGCAACAAGACGGUCUUGAUUGAUCAUCUGGCAAAAUUCGUUAGGACCAGAAAGAUUAGGAUCAGUGGAUUCUAUUGUGUUAUUUAAUUUAUAGAUCCGCAAGGCAUAAGAUUUCAGCAAAAAUGUUGCCUAGAAAUGACUUAAAAAUGCUAUUAGAUUUCCUUUGUUGUCCGUCCGUAUAGAAAAGGGAGAUACACAUUAAAACUUAUGUCUCGAAGCUUAAUAUGAAGCUAAACGAAAUCCAUAGAACCAUAAAGAAGCGGAUAGAGAUGAAGUUUUGCUUGAAGAAAAGCUUAUUAAAGGAUCAUAAGGUAUGUUCAACUCUCAAUACAGAAGAGGCAAAACGAAGAAGCUCAAGAGCAAUUGGGAAAGCCCAUAUAAAAUUAUGAAGACAAUCAACGAUGUGGUGUACUACACUUCGAGGAAAAAUCUUCAAGAAAGAAAUAAGAAAAUCUUUAAGAAAGAAAAAGGAAAUUGAUCAUGUAGAUAGUCGAACGUUAAUAAAGGAACUAGGUUAAACGGUAGAAAAACGUAGGGACAAAUCUACGAGUGAUUAACACUUUUGCAUGAAUGAAGCGUCACAUGUUCUGACUUAGUUGUCUUCUCUAUCAGGGAUGGAAUCUGCCUUUAGUAGUUCUGAUCGUUCCGGAAGAUGAGAGAGAGAUAAGUUAGUUAUGUGGCUGAACUGAUGUCGAUUAAUUUGUAAUAGGCAAGAUAAAAUAUUUCGUGAAGACAAACAUUCGGCUUGGGUAAUGAAUCAAAUUUCAUGGUAUAACAAAGUGGAGGAAUAGAUUUUUUCUUCUUUAGAAAAGAAUUCUCUUGGUGCGAAAUUAUCCGUUGUGAAAAGCUUUCUGAAGCAAAGAAAUUUUGAAGUCUUGACCGAGUUGGGUAAUUUAUUCGAAGAAGAAAUUUGUCUCAGGAUCAAACAGUUGAAGAAAGAAGGAAAAGAAAAGAGCACUCAAUUCGAUACUGCAAAUUCCUUGGGAUUUUUUAGGCCAUAGUUUUCUUUCCAAGCGAAGCGGAUUCAUGCUGCGGAUGAAUGACAAAUCGCUCAUCAGUUGGGGAAUGAUCAUGGCAGAGUCUACCACCUCCCCAUGCCAAUGGUAUUCCAAAUGAUGGAAAAAAUAUCAGGGAAAGAGCCUAAAAAAGGACCUCUGCCAGAGAUAAAGCUAAGAGACGAAUUUUGCCGAAGUUCUUGAUGACAUGGUUAUUAGGACAAAGAAAUUUGAAAUACGAAUGAUUUAGCAAAUAAGCAGGUGUUGUCAUUGAGGAAUUCUAGAGCCGAAGGUUUGUGAUAUGGAGAAGUUAGCAGAAAACCUCUUAGUGAAAACUUUUAGUGCAAUUUUUAGUGUGAAAAGGACUAUAAUAAUUGACUCCAACAUUCGAGAAGGAUUUAGUCUUAUUCAGAUGAAUCUUGACCCUGAAUGUAAAUAGGAGGAGAUUUAUUUUCUUUAUUUGUUUUGGUAUUACCUGUUGGUGUACCAUCGGUUUCAGAGAAUAUACUGUAUGAGUCGUGUGUCGGUAUAUCUUGUAGCCGCAUUUCGAAUUGAUGGAACGUAUGUGUAUUUGACAUAUCUGUAAUUGUAUUAGAUUUCCUCCUUUUGCUAGUAGAUAGAAAAACAGCUCGGUAGAUUGAAGCGUUAGUGGACAUGUAGACAUCCUUUACUUCGUUAUUUGAUAUGUUCCGUAUGGUGUAGGUGUCUCCCAAUAUUGAGACUUUUAGGUUUAUUGGUGGCAUAUUUGAGCCAGCGACCAUACGAUGUACGCCUACUGUCUCACCGCGCCGAGAUAAUACAAGAGGUCGUUAAUGUAUGUUAGAAGAACUAUAAACAAAAACAAGUCACGAGUAAUAGGAAAUAUGUCUAUCGUGUAAAAAUUUAGCGAAUAGAAUGAAACAAUAAGUAGAUACGUAUAGAUCAACUCGAUCAAUGCCCUCCCACGUAAGUUGUGCUGCUGGCAACUGCAGUAUGCUUUCUAAUUCUAGGCUUUUUGUAUCUCUUCAUAGAAUUCUUUUUGAAUCCAUCAUUCCAGCAUCAUUCCAAUUACUUAAAAGUUACACAAUUCCCUUGCCUUCCAGGCUAAAAAUGUGAUUUUUCCUUUUUUAUAGAAACAAGUUUUCUUAUCUAAAAACUCGAAUUUGUUUCGUAAAUGUUGGAAUAGCUUUCCUCUUAGUUUUUAUAGUACUAGUCAAAUGGCAUUUCAUUUUCAUUUGUUCUUCUGCCGAAGAUAUAUUGGCAUAAUAUCUAUCCGUAAACAUAUGGUAAUCCUGUUCCUUGGAAAUUUUAUUUAACAACUUUUGAUAUAAAUGCAGUGGAAUUCUAGUACUAACUGGUAGAUUUGGACGAAUAAUAUUUUCUGAUGUAAUAUUUUCAUAAUAAGGUAGGAUAGUACAGAUAUAUCCUGUUUCAGAAUUCGUCAUCGCAUAGAUUCUUAUACUCUAUUUUGUUGGCUUAAUCGGGUUACAUAUAAUGAAAAAAUUUUCCGUUGAAAUUUUACUAUGGAUUCAUCUACACAAAUAUUUUGAUCGGGAAUGAACUGUUUAGAAAAUGUUGAAUUUAAAUAUUCUAAAAAGAUACUGGCUCGUUGUAUUUUGAGAUUUUUGCUAUCUGAGUUAUGAAUUUUUAAAUGAAGCAUUCAAAAUAUUAAUUGACUCAAGUUCUUGUAAAUAUAUCCGUAGUAAGAAUUCUACUGUUAUGUUUAGUUGACCAAUAUUAGAAAUAGGCAUUGUACAUAUAUUUAGAAUGAAUCAAUGAAAAUCCAAAAUUCAUUUUUACUUACAUCAUGUCAUGCUGAUCAUACGGAGUUAUUAGUUAGAUUUUAACAACAAUAAUAAGAUUUUGCAUAGUUGUUUAUUUCCUUUAUUAUUUCAUCGACUAGCUGGUUCGUGAAAAACAGUUUGAAAAACUGAAUCGGUUCAAAAAUAUUAAAGGAUCUGUUACUUUUGAUCCUAUUGAAAAAUUUACUCUAAGUGGCAUGUAUCCAUUCUCUGUAAUACUUUUUUUUUUUU